rnacentral:tRNA from 1 species
CGUUCUGUUUAUUAAAUUCCAAAAGCAUUAAAAACAUUCAAAAGCGUUUAAAAAACAGAUAAAGAAGGUGUUUAAGGAACAUAUCUGUUUCUUAUAACAUAUCUUGUAUCUGUUCCGGAGAAGGUUUUUUUACCAAUUCACUCCUGAGGGCUUGUAGCUCAGUUGGUUAGAGCGCGCGCUUGAUAAGCGUGAGGUCGGAGGUUCAAGUCCUCCCAGGCCCACCAUUUAUGAUCGCUGAUAAAGUUUUUUGAUAAAGUUUUUGUGAACGUUUUGAUGGUCUUUUAUGUUGCAAUCUUUCUUUUAUGUUGCAUUUUAAAAACUAUUUGAACUUGUUUUAGGGGCCGUAGCUCAGCUGGGAGAGCACCUGCUUUGCAAGCAGGGGGUCGUCGGUUCGAUCCCGUCCGGCUCCACCAUCUUUGGUCAU